rnacentral:rRNA from 1 species
GGCUGAAACUCGCCUACAUGAAGCUGGAGUUACUAGUAAUCGCAGAUCAGAAUGCUGCGGUGAAUGCGUUCCCGGGUCUUGUACACACCGCCCGUCACACCACGGAAGUUGGGGGCGCCCGAAGCCACUUAGCUAACCCAUUUGGGAAGCGAGUGUCGAAGGUGAAAUCAAUAACUGGGGUGAAGUCGUAACAAGGUACC